UUUUUCAACAAUGAUAUUAUUCAGUAGUUACAUGGAGAGUACUUCAAUUCACUAAUACAAAUGUUAAAAAUGCAAAAAAAAAAAUGAACUGAUUAAAAAAUUAGUGUGUCAACACAUUGACGAGAUUUAGUAAAAUUAUAUCUUAAACCACAUUUAAAUUCAACUAGGCAUAUUUUAUAUAUCUCAGACAAUAAAAAAACUAAUAUAAACGUCAAAUUUCAAAAUUUUAAUUAAUGUAGUAUAUACACUAAAAUUCAAUGUCUUUUAUUUUAGAAAAAAAAUAUAUCUUAAAUUAAAAAUCCAAAAAGGAAUUUGUAAAUUAAUAACUCGAUAAAUUAAUAAAAUACUGAAGUAUCAACAUUGUUAAUUUAAAGAGUUUUUACUGUACUUUAAUUCUAUUAGUCUGUUAUGACUAAAUAUCUUUAUAGAAAUAAAAGGAAAGAGUAUAUUUUAUAUUUGACUAAGAAAAUACUUCUCAAAAUGUAUGUUUUUGCUAUUAUAUAUACUCAGAAUGUUUGGAGAAAACUCAUAAAAAGUUACAGAGAAUAGCUUAUAUUGAUAUUAAAAAUGGCUAUCACAAUGAAGACUUUAAUCACAUUUGUUUUUACUAUCUUUUUCAUUGUAUCUUCUGUUCAUUGUGGUACUACAGCUACCGCUGAUACUCCGGGUUACGGUGAAAUAAAGCAGGUAAUAUGCUACGACUUCUCGAGGCCGUGUGAUACUAGAGGAGAAUUAGGUUGUGAUGACUUUUGUAUUGAUUGGGGUUUUCUUAGAGGACGCUGUGCUCCAAGAAAAUGUUGUUGUGAAAGAUAAGUAUGUGUCCCAGAUUUUUCUUUUUAAGAAGUACGUAUCCAAGAUGAAAUCACCUAAUUAAAUGUACUGGCAUUGUUUGAAAAAUAACAUCAAUAAUAUUCAUUCGUUUUAUAUAUCUA